rnacentral:lncRNA from 1 species
ACAUGCGCACUAAGAGGCAAAAUGGCAGUCUUUAACUGUUGACAUGACCUCCUUGGAACAUUCAGACUGGUAAGGGAAAAGCACCUCAGAGAACUACCUGUAAUUUGAGCGAAAAAAAUCUUCUUUUGGAAACUCCUUAAGAUAUAGUCUGCCUUACUGCACGCUAUUGAGGCAGCGGUGUAUGUGCAGUGCCUAUUACUCCAUCUUGACAAGAAAUGGAAGAACUCACCAUUGUCUUUUGAUAUUUUAAACUGCAUUACUUUCAUAUAUUAUCUCACUUAUUUUUAUAUUUUAAUGGAAAUAUCUACUCAGCAUGAUAAAACAGUUUUGUUUUUCUCAUAUUGCCAGAAGGAAUACACAGUUUCUUUAAUAUGAAAGGCAAUUUUAUACAUCCGCACAAAGAGUAACACUUCAUUCAUAGUAUGCUACACGUAUAGGAAGGUUGGUGAAUAUCUGCAGUUUGUACUUUCGAGUUGAUUUUUUUUUUUUUAGUUUUUAAUUUUGGGUUAUUUUCUCUUUAAUUUAACUUCUAUGUAUUUGUAAACUAAGUGAUAAUUUUUGACAUAUAUUCAAGACUUAAGUAAUAUUCCAUUAAAUCACCCACAUAGCUUCCCAA